GAUUAUGGCUCAGGAUUAACGCUGGCGGCGUGCCUAAUACAUGCAAGUCGAAUGGUAGCAAUACCAUGGCGAACGGGUGAGUAACACGUAGGUAACCUGUCUUUAAGACGAGGAUAACCGUUGGAAACGACGGAUAAUACUCGAUAGGUGAUUUGAGGGCAUCCUUGGAUCAUUAAAGAUUUAUCACUUAGAGAGGGGCCUGCGGCGCAUUAGCUAGAUGGCGGUGUAAUGGACCACCAUGGCGAUGAUGCGUAGCCGGACUGAGAGGUUGAACGGCCACAAUGGAACUGAGAACGGUCCAUACUCCUACGGGAGGCAGCAGUAGGGAAUUUUCGGCAAUGGGCGAAAGCCUGACCGAGCCAACGCCGCGUGAACGAAGAAGUAUUUCGGUAUGUAAAGUUCUUUUAUCGGGGAAGAAAAAUAUUCAAAUUGACGGUACCUGAUGAAUAAGCUCCGGCUAACUACGUGCCAGCAGCUGC
rnacentral:rRNA from 1 species